UCGGGAUAGCUCAGUUGGUAGAGCAGAGGACUGAAAAUCCUCGUGUCGCGUUUUCAAAUA
rnacentral:tRNA from 1 species